GGAUCGAACAUGCUUUUGCCACCCAGGAGCAGUUCUGGUGACAACAGUUCCCUGUUCAGGGCACUACCAACUCUCUUCCUAUCACAAGCUGCACCACCCAAGAAGAUGGGACAUGUCAGUGAAGCACUGAUUCAUGUCCUUCAGAAGAUCCAGCGUCAGCCCUGUUCAGCUCUUUGAAGGGUCCCGCUGUCUUAUUGCAGUUGAACCACUCCCAUCACCACAUUUGCCACAGAUGACCUUGGAGAAGGUUUGCUGUAUCUUAUGGCAUACUACUACACCCUGCAUCUUACCUAUCCUAAAUGUGUGGCAACGCUUCUGUCUGUCAUUCAGACAGAAGCGUUAAAAGACAAAAUCCAUGAGCAAGACACCACAGGCUCAUACAAAAAAGUCAUGGCAGGCUGUA